rnacentral:rRNA from 1 species
AUGACAUGGUAUCAUGUGAUGGUUGGUAUCAUAGGAUAUUCCCCUCAUCACCCCCAAAGUUCACCACAAACCGAGAAACUCCGCGAGUCAAAGCCGAGGCUCGAACCCCGGCGGGCUGGCUGCAACUCCAGCAGCACAAGCAACAGGACGACGCCCGGUUCUCUACCUAAAAAAUACCAAGAAACAAGAAUCAUCACCCCCACUAAAAGUUCACCACAAACCGAGAAACGGAGACCAAGAUGCAGAGAUUUCGAUGAUGAAAGGAAAGUCAAAAGCAAGAAACACUUUGACAGUCUGUGUGAGCAACGACGAAAGUAUGAACUUGGAAACUAA